ensembl:lncRNA
GCCCCCCUGGCCGUGGGGGGAUUGAAGGAGCCCUGGGCUGUCCAGUGCCAGGAGAGCAGCUCCUGCAGGAGGCAGCAUCUCCCCUGGGUGCUUUGGCAUGUCUGUGCCAGAGGAUUCCAAAAACAGACAUGGAGAAGGUUUGCGAGAAUGCAAAUUCCCAGCCGCUCGAGGAGAGCCUGGAGACAAGGCGCCAAGUGAGGGAUGGGGCAAGAGGGAGAGGCUGCUGGUGGGAAAGGGUUGGGACAGGGCUUGCUGGCAUUGGGGGAUGCUGUGCCAAGGCAGCUGCCUCUGUGCCAUACCACCUCCUCCAUUUCCUUCCCGCAGGUGAGCAACACCCAGCAACAUGCAGCGCCUGAGGAGAGCCUGGGCCAGACCUCAUCCCUCCAUGGGGACAGGCUGCCACCACUCCCUGGCCAACAGAGCUUGCAGAGCACCAGCAGCCACCCAACCACUGCACCAAGCAAGGUGGAGCCUCCGCAGGGGUUAGAGAGGAGCCGCCGGGCCCGCUCCCAGCUCAGGGCUUCAUAUGGCAAAGCCAACCUGCCAUGGCAGCUGCACAGCCUGGAGGAGAAGGAGGUCCCACAGCAGGAGGGCCAGGACCAUCUUGCCUCCCUGAUAUGGCUUGAUGGUAGAGCCGGGCAGGGAAACCCAAAGUUGGACAUUGAGAAGCCAGAGCUGACAGGCCUGGAGGGACUGGAAGCCAUCCUAGGCCAGCAGAAGGUGCUGGAAUGGCUUGAAGCCCAUUUCCCCACUGAGACCUGGACCUUGGCCACAAAGGGUGAAGACUGGGACUACACGAUUGACAAAGGGCUGUCCCGUGGGCUGCGGCAAAAGGACCUCGAACAUCCAGUGUCUCCAGCUCCACCUGGUCCCAACAACACCAAGGAUGAGCCAGCCAUGUACCAGAGUCCAGUGCUGCCUCAGUGGGGACAGGCCUGGCCCAGCCGUCCCAGAGAGCAGCAGCCAGGCCAGGCCAGCACUGCCACAACCACCAUCACUGGCUAUGCACUGCAGGCUCUUCCCUGGGAAGAGCCCUUGGUGCCGGCGCUGCAGGCAGGAGCUUACCUGUUGCCCGCACAACCCCUUGGCCAUGGAGCUCCUUCUCCCGCGGCUACUGACGGCCCGGCGCGACAGCAGCAACGCUCCCUCUUCGGGAGGGUGCUCAGGGCUGUGUGCAGGCUGUUCCUUGGAACCUGUGUGCCACCAGAGCAGGAGCAGCAGCGCCGGGCUGCCAGCGCCAGGAAGGUGCCCGGAGGCGACCGUGCUGAGCCUCGGCAGUGUCCAGCUGAGAGCGCGGCACAGGGAGGCACCCGAGCCAUGGCUGCAGGGACGGCGCCUCAGGCAUUUGGCUGCUGCCCCAAGCGCACCCUGCCAGACUGGGCUUACCCAGUGAUUCCUGUGACCAGCCUAUGAUUCCCCUAGAGACACCUUAGGACUGAGGCUGGUUCACAUUUUUAUCACAGUUUGACAAUAGAUAGAUAGAUUAUAUAGAUUAUAAGACAGACAGAUAGAUGGAUAAUAGGUAGAUAGAUAAAUAGAUAGACAUCAAUAAAUUAUAAUUUUUUUUCA